rnacentral:lncRNA from 1 species
AUCUUUUUACUUUCUCUUCUUUUACUUCUUGAAUCGACUGACUAUAUUGAAAUUUCAAUAGGGCGGCGAUGUUGGAACCCAAUAUCGAUCAGGAAUAUACUACUACAUGCCAGAACAAGAGAAGAUGGCAAAUGAAUCAAAAAUGAAGCAUGAAGAAACUUUAAAGCAGGUGAUCGUUUCAGAAAUUCUACCAGCAAAGAAAUUCUAUAAAGCCGAAAGCUAUCAUCAACAGUAUCUGGCAAAAGGAGGUCGAUUUGGUUUAAAACAGUCGACAGAAAAGAACUGUAACGAUCCAAUCCGUUGUUACGGAUAAUUUGUCCAUUUGCAAAAGCUCUAAACCAAAUUCUGUAUUUUUUUUUAAUAAAACAACUGCAAAAAAUCAUUUCAUUUAAUAAUUAAUCUGUAAAACAAGAAGAAGAAGAAAUAGAAAAAAUAAUGUCUUACAAAAAUACCUCAAAAGCAGGAACUUAAUAUAAUGAUAGAAAAAUUUUCAUCUAAAACAUUAAUAGAAAACAUCUCAG